rnacentral:rRNA from 1 species
CCUACGGGUGGCAGCAGUGAGGAAUAUUGGUCAAUGGGCGCGAGCCUGAACCAGCCAAGCAGCGUGAAGGAUGACUGCCCUACGGGUUGUAAACCUCUUUUAUAAAGGAAUAAAGUGAGGCACGUGUGCCUUUUUGUAUGUACUUUAUGAAUAAGGAUCGGCUAACUCCGUGCCAGCAGCCGCGGUAAUACGGAGGAUGCGAGCGUUAUCCGGAUUUGUUGGGUUUAAAGGGUGCGUAGACGGGUUGUUAAGUCAGUUGUGAAAGCUUGCGGCUCAACCGUAAAAUUGCAAUUGAUACUGGCAGUCUGGAGUACAGGUGAGGUAGGCGGAAUUCGUGGUGUAGCGGUGAAAUGCUUAGAUAUCGCGAAGAACUCCGAUUGCGAAGGCAGCUUACUAGACUUCCACUGACGUUGAGGCACGAAAGUGUGGGUAUCGAACAGGAUUAGAUACCCGAGUAGUC